AUAUGUUAUUUUCAAAAUAAUAUAGGUACUAUUUUUCCAAUAAGAUAGGUGAGUGUAGGAGUGACAUUUAAAUUGCACAAAUCACUGUGUUGAUUAAUCAUUUUCAAGUUGAAAGGAAUAUUAUGCAGUGGAAUUCAAUGCUUGCCGCAUUUCUGGCGCUCAUCUCCAUUGUUACUGUAACAGCUGCUGUUCGUCGCAAUAAUGUAAUACGAAUCAAAUUUGUGCAUCGUACAAAUUUAGCUCGCCGGAUCAGCAUCAAAAAGUGCUGCUCGAAAUUCCCUCGUUCCUGCAAUGUAACAACCACAACCAUGGAAACCACCUCUAAACCGGACACUAAUAACAAAAAGACAACAAAGCUAACUGGAAUUGCGGCCACUGCGUCCUCUGCCCCGAAAA